rnacentral:rRNA from 1 species
GACGAACGCUGGCGGCGUGCUUAACACAUGCAAGUCGAACGAGUGGCGAACGGGUGUGUAAGACGUGGGUAACAUGCCCUCUUUACGGGACAAGCCGUUGAAACAGGGUUUAACACCGAAUAAAGGAGGAGGGGCUCGCGGCAUAUCAGCUUGUUGGUGGGGUGAUGGCCUACCAAGGCGGUGACGGGUAGCCGGUCUGAGAGGGUGAACGGGCACAUUGGGACUGAGAAACGGCCCAGGCGCCGACGGGAGGGGGCAGUGGGGGAUAUUGCACAAUGGGCGAAAGGCUGAUGCAGCGACGACGCGUGGGGGAUGAGGGCUUUAGGGUUGUAAACCUCUUGCGCUAGCGAACGGGUAGGUGGAGAAGAAGCGCCGGCUAACUACGUGCCAGCAGCCGCGGUAAUUC